CCCUUAGAUGUCCUGGGCCGCACGCGCGCUACACUGAUGCAUGCAACGAGUUUAUAACCUUGGCCUGAAAGGUCUGGGUAAUCUUUUGAACGUGCAUCGUGAUAGGGAUAGAUUAUUGCAAUUGUUAAUCUUGAACGAGGAAUUCCUAGUAAACGCGAGUCAUCAGUUCGCAUUGAUUACGUCCCUGCCCUUUGUACACACCGCCCGUCGCACCUACCGAUUGAAUGGUUCGGUGAAGAUCUCGGACUUCGAUAUUUAUUCUUUAUUGAGUUUAUAUUGUGGGAAGUUAUCUAAACCUCAUCAUUUAGAGGAAGGUGAAGUCGUAACA
rnacentral:rRNA from 1 species